UGCAUCGGUCUGGGACUCACGCUUCAGCUCUCACUGUGACUGCGGGAGGGGCAGUGCACGCACAGCGGCCAGGGCUUCUUCCCAGGGGCAGAACGAAGGAACCAGAUAGUUCCCCACCUCCAGGCUCUAGCCUGAUCAGGAAGAUUGAGGUGUUUGUGUGUCCACAGAGGACCUCGAAGGCGCCCCAAAGCCCUUGCCGAGGGCGACGGGGGGAGGGUGGAUAAAGGAAAGGCUGAGCGCACUUUCCUCCUUGCAGCCCCCACCCCGCAAACGGUACUCGGAAUCGGAAUAGAGCAUCCUCUUCCCAGCCCAGCACCCCCAAACCAUCUCUCAGUGGAUUCCUUGUCCUCGAGACCACAGACACGUAAAAGCAAUUACAGUUUGGAGUCCCAGGAGGCAAGCAAAUGAUUACGAUUAUGGAAAAAAAAAAAGCCGCCUAGAGUUCCCCAAAUAUUAGGGAACGAGGAGAGCCACCUUGAAGGCUAAGAGACGGGCGGGGACCAAGGGCAUCCCGCUGGAGAGUGGUCCAUGUAAGCCACGAAGUGUCAGAAAAGAGAAUAGGGAGGGGAGCAAGUGCGAAGGCGUGUGUGCUGCUGCAGAGGGGCGAGCAGGCGAUUGGGGUGGCUGCCAAGUGAUGGGAGUCAGAGGAGGGGAGGAACGUGCUCGCCACGAGCAGCUGGCCCGGUGGCGGGUUCUGCCUGGCACUAGGGUUCCUUUUUUCCCAGCCUUUCACCUUCGGCUAACCGCGCGUGCGGACAGCACCGAGACACACAUUGCGCUGGGGGCGCUCGCGGGCAUAGGAUGGGUGGGGUGCGGCAAGGACCAAAGAGCCCUGUGCCUCACACAGCGCAGGGCGCGCUGCACACCUGGCACCGGAGACUCACCAUCUGUUCAGAGCUGCCUCCUGGGCCCAGGGGUGUGGCCAGGAAAGAUAAGAGUACCCGUGGCAGCGACGACUCCACACCAACUGCCACUUCAACUGCCAAUCAACGUAGAUUUCAAAUGGUUUACACACCUAAAUCUCAGCACUUGGUUGAGGCAAGAGCUUGUGGAAACACAAGUUGAAGGACAGCCUGGACUUACAGAAGCAGACUGCUUUAAGUUAGUUCCAUAAGAGACAAGAACUCUGUUGAGAUUGCUGAUCAUCGUCUUGCCAGGUGUUCGAAAGCUGCCCCAAAUGACAGCACUUGAGGCAGACUGGAAGACUGACAUCCAGGUGCUGAAAUCUCAGGCACACAAGAGAGGUGGCAGCUGCUGACAGCAACAGGAAGAGGAAAGUGUGACCCAGUUGGGUGAUGUGGAUGUCAAAGGAGAAGGCGCUUUCAGGAGAGAAGAGAGUCUUCACAUCUAAAAGUACCAGAACGGAGUGGGUGGUGGAUGUAGUGAGCUGAGCUGAGAGCUGACAGGAAAGGGAUUUCUGGCAGAGGAUGCAGACAGACCCUGCAUGACUUUUGGAAGAAGUGUCUCAGAUUGCCUAACAUUGAGGUCUGAAAGGUUUUACCUUUUCAAUAAUAAAUAUUGUUAGGGG
rnacentral:lncRNA from 1 species